rnacentral:pre_miRNA from 1 species
CUAAAGGCCUGAUCCAAAGUCCACUGAGAUCAACAGAAGUCUUUCUAUUGAUUUCAGUGGGCUUUGGAUCAGGCCUUAA